rnacentral:rRNA from 1 species
UAAAAGUCGUAACAAGGUUUCCGUAGGUGAACCUGCGGAAGGAUCAUUACAGAAAGUAAACGCGGAUCGAACCGCGAACUUCUAAACCUUUGACGAUUGACUCAUGUUGCCUCGGCGGGUUCUCCCGCCAGAGGAUGCAUCAAAACUCCUGUUUUAACGAGUGUUGUCUGAGCUACAAGCAACGAAUCAAAACUUUCAACAACGGAUCUCUUGGUUCUGGCAUCGAUGAAGAACGCAGCGAAAUGCGAUAAGUAGUGUGAAUUGCAGAAUUCAGUGAAUCAUCGAAUCUUUGAACGCACAUUGCGCCCCUUGGUAUCCCGAGGGGCAUGCCUGUUCGAGCGUCAUUUCACCACUCAAGCCUGGCUUGGUGUUGGGCGACGUCCCCUUUGGGGACGCGCCUCGAAACGCUCGGCGGCGUGGCACCGGCUUUAAGCGUAGCAGAAUCUUUCGCUUUAAAGUCGGGGCCCCGUCUGCCGGAAGACCUACUCGCAAGGUUGACCUCGGAUCAGGCAGGGAUACCCGCUGAACUUAGC